AUCAGAUUAAGUUUUGGGAUAUGGAUAAUGUCAAUGUCUUGUUUAGUACAGAUGCUGAAGGAGGUCUUCCUAAUCUCCCUCGUUUGAGAUUCAAUAAGGAAGGGAAUUUGCUUGCUGUUACAACAUCAGAUGGUGGUUUCAAAGUCCUUUCUAAUUCUGAGGGCAUUAAAUACUUUAGAUCUCAUCAAACACUUAAAGCUCCACUUGGAACAAAGAAUGGGAGUGAUUCUAUUCCUAGAUGCAUAGAGAGGAAAGGAAGUUUGGAUUAUGCAUCGCACAAGGCUAAAGUUUGGGAAACAACAGAAAUAAUUGACCCCAUUCAGUGUAGAACAAUUACUCUCACAGAUAAUGCAGAUCCCACUAACAAGGUUGUUCGCCUUAUUUACACAAAUUCUGGGGUUAGUCUCAUUGCUCUUGGCUCAAAAGGGAUUCAGAGGUUGUGGAAAUGGAGUCGUAAUGAAUUGAAUCCAAAUGGAAAGGCCACAGCAAGUGUUGUUCCACAACUUUGGGAACCGAAUAAUGGUAUUGUGAUGAUUAACGAUGUUCCAAACUCUUCUGAAGCAAUAUUUCCCUGCAUGGCACUCUCAAAGAAUGAUUCCUAUGUUAUGUCUGCAUGUGGAGGAAAAAUUUCAUUGUUCAACAUGAUGACUUUUAAGGUUAUGACAACUUUUAUGCCACCUCCACCUAUUCCGACCUGUCUGGCUUUUCAUCCUAAAGAUAACAAUAUUGUUGCAAUUGGGAUGAAUGAUUCCACAGUUCAUAUUUAUAAUGUCAGGGUGAAUGAGGUCAAAUCUAAAUUGAAAGGUCAUCAUGAGUGUAUCACUGGUUUAGCUUUUUCAGCUCGACUCAAUAUACU
rnacentral:sRNA from 1 species